rnacentral:lncRNA from 1 species
GAUGACGCUAAGGCACGCCGCUUUUGCUGGUUUGCAGUUGAUGGAGGGAUACCAAGUGAACACACUUCAAUUGAAUCCUAGUGCAGAAGAUUGUGGUUAUGGGCUUAAACCAGCUCAACCUCAGGGCGAUAGCUUCUUUCACGCCUUGGAAUGUGAACCCACAUUGCAAAUUGGGUAAGCCCUAAUUAUUGUUUCACAUAAGAAAUUUAACCGUGCAUGGUGCCUAACAUAUAUUUUAUAUAUGCUUUUAUGAGUUUGCAUAAUCUCAUGAAAUUAUCAAUUCAAUGAACCGCAGAUACCAGCCUGCGGACCCAAUAUCGGUUGUCACAGCAGGCCCGAGUCUGAAUAAUUACAUGCAAGGAUGGCUACCAUGCUAAGAGAGCGGCGGGCAUUACCAGUCAAUGUAUUGCAGUUGAUCCAUAAGAAUCAGCAACUUUGUAUCCCUUUGUAAGCAACCCUAUUCAGUGACUAGGAACACGCAAUCAUAAGGAUUUAUUAUAAUAACUCUACAGUGAUCCUGCACUUUAGGGAAACUGAUGACGAUAUAUAGCUAUGUUGUGUGUGCGUGUAUUUUCAAUC